rnacentral:rRNA from 1 species
UUAGGGACGAAUGGAAGUUCCUUCGGGAGCAACAACGUUGAGUUCAUACUGUCGAGAAAAGCAUCGCAUAGCGUUGAGUGGAGAGCCAAUCGUUCUGAAAACCGACACAGGUAGGCAAGCUGAGAAGGCUAAGGGGAGCGGGAUAACUCCUGUUAAGGAACUAGGCAAAUUAGCCCCGUAACUUAGGGAGAAGGGGUACUCUGGUUGGUUAAUAGCUGACUGGAGUCGCAGUGACAAGGCAGCGGCGACUGUUUACCAAAAACACAGGGCUCUGCGAAUUCGAUAAGAAGACGUAUAGGGUCUGACGCCUGCCCAGUGCUGGAAGGUUAAGGGGAAAGGUUAGCGCAAGCGAAGCUUUGAACCGAAGCCCCAGUAAACGGCGGCCGUAACUAUAACGGUCCUAAGGUAGCGAAAUUCCUUGUCGGGUAAGUUCCGACCUGCACGAAUGGCGUAACGAUCGCUGCACUGUCUCAACAGGAGACCCGGUGAAAUUUCAGUCUGGGUGAAGAUGCCCAGAACUCGCAACUAGACGGAAAGACCCCAUGGAGCUUUACUGUAGCUUGGUAUUGUGCUUUGUUGUAUGGUGUACAGGAUAGGUAGGAGGCAGAGAACCCGGUUCGCCAGGAUCGGGGGAGCCAACGGUGGGAUACUACCCUCUAUACAACGGAGUACUAACUUGUGGAUGUGGAGAGCAUCGCAAGGACAGUGCUAGGUGGGCAGUUUGACUGGGGCGGUCGCCUCCCAAAGAGUAACGGAGGCGCGCUAAGGUUGGCUCAGGUUGGUUGGAAAUCAACCAUAGAGUGUAAGGGCAAAAGCCAGCUUGACUGUGAGACUGACAGGUCGAACAGGAGGGAAACCUGGCCCUAGUGACCCUGCGGCCCUGAGUGGAAAGGCCGUUGAUCAGCGGAUAAAAGCUACCCUGGGGAUAACAGGCUUAUACUGCCCGAGAGUUCACAUCGACGGCAGUGUUUGGCACCUCGAUGUCGGCUCAUCGCAUCCUGGGGCUGGAGCAGGUCCCAAGGGUUAGGCUGUUCGCCUAUUAAAGCGGUACGUGAGCUGAGUUCAGAACGUCGUGAGACAGUUCGGUCCCUAUCUGUUGCGAGCGUAGGAGACUUGAGAAGGGUAGCCCCUAGUACGAGAGGACCGGGGUUAGUGGACCUCUGGUGAAUCAGUUGUCGUGCAAGCGGCAGUAGCUGAGUAGCUAAGUUCAUGAGUGAUAACCGCUGACAGCAUCUAAGCGGGAAGCACGCUUCAAGACUAGGUCUCUCAGGAUCGUUCGAGAAGAGGACGUAGAUAGGCUGGAGAUGUAAGCGCCGUGAGGUGUUGAGUCGACCAGUACUAAUCAUCCGAUCCCUUUAUC